rnacentral:tRNA from 1 species
GUAAUGAAAGCUCAGUGGUUAGAGCUUAGAGCUCGUAACCGGAAGGUCCUGGGAUCGAAUUCCGCUAAAGGCA